GAAGCAAUCGGAAGUGGUUCCAAGAAAAGCCUCUAAGCUUCAGUCAUACGAGACCGUACCGCAAACCGACACAGGUGGGCGAGAUGAGUAUUCUAAGGCGCUUGAGAGAACUCGGGAGAAGGAACUCGGCAAAUUGGUACCGUAACUUCGGGAAAAGGUACGCCCCGGUAGCUUGAUUGGUUUACUCCAUGAGGGUGAAAGGGUUGCAAUAAACUGGUGGCUGCGACUGUUUAAUAAAAACACAGCACUCUGCAAACACGAAAGUGGACGUAUAGGGUGUGACGCCUGCCCGGUGCUGGAAGAUUAAAUGAUGGGGUGCAAGCUCUUGAUUGAAGUCCCAGUAAACGGCGGCCGUAACUAUAACGGUCCUAAGGUAGCGAAAUUCCUUGUCGGGUAAGUUCCGACCUGCACGAAUGGCGUAACGAUGGCCACACUGUCUCCUCCCGAGACUCAGCGAAGUUGAAAUGUUUGUGAUGAUGCAAUCUACCCGCGGCUAGACGGAAAGACCCCAUGAACCUUUACUGUAGCUUUGCAUUGGACUUUGAACCAAUCUGUGUAGGAUAGGUGGGAGGCUUUGAAGCGGGGACGCUAGUUCUCGUGGAGCCAACCUUGAAAUACCACCCUGGUUUGUUUGAGGUUCUAACCUUGGUCCGUUAUCCGGAUCGGGGACAGUGCAUGGUAGGCAGUUUGACUGGGGCGGUCUCCUCCUAAAGUGUAACGGAGGAGUUCGAAGGUACGCUAGAUACGGUCGGACAUCGUGUUGAUAGUGCAAUGGCAUAAGCGUGCUUAACUGCGAGACUGACAAGUCGAGCAGGUACGAAAGUAGGACAUAGUGAUCCGGUGGUUCUGUAUGGAAGGGCCAUCGCUCAACGGAUAAAAGGUACUCUGGGGAUAACAGGCUGAUUCCUCCCAAGAGUUCAUAUCGACGGGGGAGUUUGGCACCUCGAUGUCGGCUCAUCACAUCCUGGGGCUGUAGCCGGUCCCAAGGGUAUGGCUGUUCGCCAUUUAAAGUGGUACGUGAGCUGGGUUUAAAACGUCGUGAGACAGUUUGGUCCCUAUCUGCCGUGGGCGUUGGAAAUUUGAAGGGGGCUGCUCCUAGUACGAGAGGACCGGAGUGGACGAACCUCUGGUGUACCGGUUGUCACGCCAGUGGCAUUGCCGGGUAGCUAAGUUCGGAAGAGAUAACCGCUGAAAGCAUCUAAGCGGGAAACUUGCCUUGAGAUGAGAUUUCCCAGAGCCUUGAGCUCUUUGAAGGGUCGUUCGAGACCAGGACGUUGAUAGGCUGGGUGUGGAAGUGCAGUAAUGCAUUAAGCUAACCAGUACUAAUUGCCCGUACGGCUUGUCCCU
rnacentral:rRNA from 2 species